GACAGAGGAUGCAAGCGUUAAUCGGAAUUACUGGGCGUAAAGCGUGCGCAGGCGGUUUUGUAAGUUUGUCGUGAAAUCCCCCGGGCUCAACCUGGGAAUGGCGAUGAAGACUGCAAGGCUAGAAUCUGGCAGAGGGGGGUAGAAUUCCACGUGUAGCAGUGAAAUGCGUAGAGAUGUGGAGGAACACCGAUAGCGAAGGCAGCCCCCUGGGUCAAGAUUGACGCUCAUGCACGAAAGCGUGGGGAGCAAACAGG
rnacentral:rRNA from 1 species